rnacentral:rRNA from 1 species
AAAUUGAAGAGUUUGAUCAUGGCUCAGAUUGAACGCUGGCGGCAGGCCUAACACAUGCAAGUCGAACGGUAACAGGAAGCAGCUUGCUGCUUCGCUGACGAGUGGCGGACGGGUGAGUAAUGUCUGGGAAACUGCCUGAUGGAGGGGGAUAACUACUGGAAACGGUAGCUAAUACCGCAUAAUGUCGCAAGACCAAAGAGGGGGACCUUCGGGCCUCUUGCCAUCGGAUGUGCCCAGAUGGGAUUAGCUAGUAGGUGGGGUAACGGCUCACCUAGGCGACGAUCCCUAGCUGGUCUGAGAGGAUGACCAGCCACACUGGAACUGAGACACGGUCCAGACUCCUACGGGAGGCAGCAGUGGGGAAUAUUGCACAAUGGGCGCAAGCCUGAUGCAGCCAUGCCGCGUGUAUG